AAGAGAGGCAAAUACAACCUACCAGUUCGUCAGCAGCAUUUGAAGUGUCGCCAUGACAACCAUCUCCAAAGUCGUCAGUGGGAGGACUCCAUGUUUGUGCUGUCUUCGGUUGUGUCAACAUCUCUGUUUAAUGGACAGUUUAGAUGUGUGAGGAAGAUGAUCAUCUGUGGCUGUGUCUGUACAACACAGGAGGGCACUGGAUUCUUUAGAUUGUGAAAAUGCCAGGACAGGCCCUACUUGCUAUUGACCCGUUAAGGAACGAGCAGAAAUACAGCAGGAAACUCUUGAGACACUGGAGGAAUUUCUUAAGGAUGAGACAGCACCGAUUAAGCAGCACAACGUGGACUGUAGAAACUCUGGCUCAUGAGCUGCAGGUGGAUGGGAGUAGCUGUGGAGUCUUUAUUUUAAAAUUUGCGGAUGAAUACCUUCAGUCUGGAUCAAUCCUUGAUGUGAAGACUGAUCCUGGACCUGUGCAGGCUGUCAGACUACACAUUGCCUGCGAGCUCAUUGAAAAUGGUGGUAGGUCCUCAGCCUCACAGGAUAUUUCAACAUUAUUUAUGUUUUUUAGAUUUUCUGAUACUGUAGAUACGGUGUAAUGGACUUAUUAAAUCUAAUUUAUUUUCCAAAAAGGCAUUGUUGAAUACAGCAUAGCCUGCAACAUCAUCGACUCUGACACGGAAAGUGACAAUGUUAGCUUGGCGUAGAUAGAAAUUAGAAAAAUGUAUAGAAAUAACAAGCUUUACUGGUGCUUCCAGUAACAGAGGAUAAUACAGUUCCAGUACUUCAUUAUAAAUGCGUUUAAGUCCACUGUUACAUGUAACGUGUCUCACAUGAAACUGACAGUAUGAUGGUAAUUUCUGUCACUGUAAAUGGUUGACUAUAGAAAAUAUUUUGAACUAGUAAUCUCAGUCUUCUAUCGAGAAAUGUCUGCCCACUCUUAUUCUCCUCAGGUGCACUAAGACAUUUGUCUCCGAUGGACACAUCCUGACUGUCUGAAAUCUGUCCCUGCCAAUGGAAAUGAAAAUUACAGUUGCUUGAAAUGCAGAAAAUAGAAAAAAUAGGCUACAUUUUCUUGAGGAAAUGUGUGUGCUUGUGAGAUAACAAAUAAUAAUAAGAUAAAAAAGAUAAGUGAUACGUGUGUGUGUGUGUGUGUGUGUGUGUGUGUGUGUGUGUACACAUGUGUAGGGUGCUCAUUAUGAGCUACUCUACUUUUAACCAUAUUUACAGUAGACCAUUCCGAUAGAUAUUUCCUACCUGACAGAAUGAGCGCCCCUACUUUUAAUCCCAUUUUUAGGGGUUGUAUGUGUGCUUCUCACCCGUAUCUAUAUGCUAGGGUGGGGGAUUAGGAGUGAGAGGCUUAGUUCAUCACACUUGUCUGACAGGAUGACAGCGGGAACACCGGCGGACACUUCAGCUAACAAGCAGCUGUCGGUCCCACUAGCUGCACUAACAUCAGCGCUCCUAUUAACGGUUAACGUCACUUAACGCUAGGUCACAUGUUAAUUAGCUCGCUAGAUGUAGCUGUACUGGUAAGUUUAGAAGUGGCACGGAAAGACUAACGUUAAGUUAGCCUCUGUGAGUGUUGUGUAACGUCAGCCCCAAAGUAACGUUAGUGUGUCUGGUGCUGAUGCUGCAAGCUGAAGACUUAGCUUAACGCUAGAGAAUUAGCUUACUGUACUGUAUUAGCUGAAGCUAGCAUAGUGGGUUGAGAAGGCC